rnacentral:rRNA from 1 species
UGGGGAAUCUUGCGCAAUGGGCGAAAGCCUGACGCAGCAACGCCGCGUGGAGGACGAAGGCUUUCUGAGUUGUAAACUCCUUUCAGCAGGGACGAUAGUGACGGUACCUGCAGAAGAAGCACCGGCCAACUACGUGCCAGCAGCCGCGGUGAUACGUAGGGUGCAAGCGUUGUCCGGAUUUAUUGGGCGUAAAGAGCUCGUAGGCGGUUUGAUUAGUCGGGUGUGAAACCUCCAGGCUCAACCUGGAGCCGCCACUCGAUACUGUCAUGACUAGAAUUCGGUAGGGGACCACGGAAUUCCUGGUGUAGCGGUGAAAUGCGCAGAUAUCAGGAGGAACACCAGCAGCGAAGGCGGUGGUCUGGGCCGACAUUGACGCUGAGGAGCGAAAGCGUGGGGAGCGAACAGGAUUAGAUACCCUGGUAGUCCACGCCGUAAACGUUGGGCACUAGGUGUGGGGACUAUUCAACGGUCUCCGUGCCGCAGCUAACGCAUUAAGUGCCCCGCCUGGGGAGUACGGCCGCAAGGCUA